CCGAAAACGGCCCGCUCGCCCGGGAUGGACGAGCGCGCUCCCGCCGUCGCCGCCGCCGCCGUCGCCCCGCCCCCGAAUUCGAUCGGGAAGGGGAGGGGUCUAGCGGCGGCCGCCAUCGGGCCGCACCCAUUGGCUCCCACGAGGCGCCUGCGCGUUGAGCUGUGUGGGCUUCUCGCCUACCGGCAAAUGAGACUACGCGGUGACGUCGAGGCUGCCCUGGCAACCUAGGGACGCUCGUGGAGUUGGUGGACCGCCCUACCUGUGACAGACGCUGCCCAAGGUCGUGACCUGUAUGGCCGAAAAAGCCUAAAAUGAGCCUAGUUUAAGAGCUACCUCAGGUUGGAGGAUACCAAUAAAUAUGCUGUUACUGCUCAAACAAAUCACUUCCUUAUGUUGCCAUCUUCAAUCAAAAUAUAGACUGUUAUAACUUGGAAAACACAGAAAGCAACAACAAAAAGGUCAUCUGUGAGCAUGCCCUGGAGAAAACUACUUUUGAUAUUAAGAUAAGGAUCCAGCACCACACACUGUAUCUUCUUGUCUUCCCAUUCUGCUUUCAAUAUAAACCAGAGACCAUUAGGAAC